CGCGCGGCGCUGCGUCUGUGAGGGUGCGGGCUGGCGGCGCGGUGGGAGGGGGAGGAUCCAACAUGGCGUCCAUGCAGAAAAGAUUACAAAAGGAGCUAUUGGCAUUGCAAAAUGAUCCGCCUCCCGGAAUGACUCUAAAUGAAAAGAGCGUACAAAACUCCAUUACACAGUGGAUUGUGGACAUGGAAGGUGCUCCAGGAACGCUAUACGAAGGGGAGAAAUUUCAGCUUCUAUUUAAGUUCAGUAGCCGAUAUCCUUUUGAUUCGCCUCAGGUCAUGUUUACUGGUGACAAUAUUCCUGUUCAUCCACAUGUUUAUAGCAAUGGUCAUAUCUGUUUGUCCAUUCUAACAGAAGACUGGUCUCCAGCUCUCUCAGUGCAAUCUGUUUGUCUUAGCAUUAUUAGCAUGCUUUCCAGCUGCAAAGAAAAGGUCUUUUCUUCUGUUGCAGAGGCGACCUCCAGAUAACUCAUUUUAUGUAAGAACGUGUAACAAGAAUCCAAAGAAAACAAAAUGGUGGUAUCAUGAUGACACAUGUUGAUGCCACCAUUUUGUGAUCCUCGUAGCAGAAGAUAGUCCUACUGAGAAAACGAGCACUUUGAUCAUUCAGUCUUUGAACUUUAACCUUUGACUGGAAGUGACCUAUAGGCAAAGAAGACUACUUCCUUUGACUGCAUUUUUACUAGUGUGCAUUCUGGGCGCAUGUUGAUCGCUGGUUCAGUCCAUGCAACUGACAUGCUUUUAUUAGUCAUACAGUAUUAAUGCAGGUGUCCAGAAAUGUCAGAAUAAUUCCAUUAUUUUUAUUUUAAGCUUUUGGAGAAUUCCAGGUCUUCAUAUAUUGUGCAAUAACACUGAACUCCUUUGCGGUUUUGGUGCAUCCAUUGCCGGCAAUGGACAUUGUACCAGGGAAAGGUUUUUUGCUCCUGCCACAAAAAGAUUGAUGUGUAAUAGAGCUGGGGAAAGUUUCAGAUAUUUGAAUUAUAAGCAAGGGAUCUACCUGUACCUUAAAAGCCACCCCAUUCUUUUGUAUUUGGAUUCUAUGCACUGUGAUCUCAAAACUAGCAGCAUGAGGUAACAUGCUUAGCUGAAGGACUGUAAUAAGAUCAUUGCAUAUUUAUUAAAUUGUUUGUCUGCUGUCAAAUUGUUUUGACAUGGAAGGUUUUUCAAGUGACAUUGGCAGGGAGGUACAAUGUUAUCCCUAUGGUGAAAUAAAACUACUUUUUGUAUAUAGUUAUUCAUAUCUCUGAAGCAAAGGUAUGAGUAAUUUAGGGUAUGAAUGAUUUAAUCAAGAAUUUAUUUUGGAGAUAAGAGAGGAUGGCAGUGAUAUAACUGAACUUGCUGCAGUCCAUAAUUGGGCUUGUAAUUUGUACUUUAGAGCUUUUUCCAAAUAGAUUGCACACUGUUAUUUCCUGCUAGCCAUCAGCAUGAGCCCUACUGCCUACACCAAUAUUUCAUUUAUUUAUGUGUUUGAAAGAAAUCAUAUAACAUUUUUGUUUGCAUUCACUGUUUCUUUUGUUGU